UGCUCCUACUUCAAGACUUGGCUGUGUAGAUUUGUCGAACGUCGACGAUUAGGUUUGAAGUAUUGGUAAUGAUGGUCAACUUGGGCCUUGAGAUGACUUAGAAUUUCCAAAAGAACUUACUUGAAAUAAAAUCCUUAUGCUUUGGGGCUUUAAUAUGAGCCCAGAUUGAGUAGGAGCGAGGCAAAGCCGAAUUGUUGGUAGCCUGCGGUAAUUCCAGACCUCGUUACUCCCUUAAUCAUGAAACAAAACACAUCCUUAUCAGAACAAGGAUAGACUUUAAUUUUUUUAUUACGCAAAAUGUUUUUCAUUGAAAUCCUCAAUUUGAUUCGGAUGGAGUUAUCCCUAUCAUGCGAUUCCCGCCUCUUUUGAGUUUACCUGCUGCUUUCCUACACUUAUAAAAGAGUAGAUCACGAUGCAUAAGUAUAUAUCCAAACUUGUUAAGAUACACAUUGAGCCCUCUUUGCAUGGUAGCAUUUGACAGGCCUAUGGAAUCUUUAAUAGCAGUGUCGGAGGCGUAACAUCAUUCGUCGCAGCAACACCUUGCUUCAUUCUGGCGAGCAUAAAUUUCUUUUCCAAGCACUAGCACCAGCUGCCAUUUUUUAGGUGAUUUUCAAAACUUGACUUCGAAUUCAGUUGCUGAUCCUUCAGCUUUGCGCGUCUUCACGAGAAAAAAUAUAUCUUUUGGUAGAUUUAUUGAAAUUGCAAUCCACCUAUGGUGUCGUGAAGUAGACUCCCGAGACUACAAUCUACACCAGAAUCAGGUUCAAAUUCCUAGUGAAUUUACGCGGACACGUCCAAACCACAAUCCGCUUACACCGUUGGAAAGAGGACUUCUGCGACUACAAUAUAUACAAAAAUCAGAUCCAGAUUCUAAGUAUAUUUGUACAGAUACUUGUUUGAACUCGGUAUUUGAUUUCUGGCAUUCUGCUUUUUACAGCUUUGUGCGCCCCGACUAAAAAAAUCAUAUUUCUUUGCAGACACGUCGAAACCUCAUUCCUCUUGCGCCUUUGGAAAGAGGACUUCUAGAGCAAUAAUAUAAAAAUGGAAAAGGGCCUAAAGUGCCCCUGAAGUAUCGAAUUUGGUACAAUAAUGUCCUCCUUACACCUUUUCGAAUAAAAAUGCACUUACCGUUUAACUUUUGACUCAGCCAUGCCCCUAUUUCUAACAGCCUUUUAUUUUUUUUUAAACUUUUUUUUAAUCCACGUGUAAUAUUUUUAUUGGCUGAACUUAAAGGCUAGCCCUAAUACACUAACCCACCCGUAACCCGCCCUAUUACCGACCCGCUUUCCUUUAAUUCGUUUUAACCCAAAAACCCAAUUUUUUAAAGACACAACAACUUCUUCUUCUUCCUCUUUUCAUUAAGGUUCUUCAAAUUCUCCAUCUCCCAACCUCCCAACUUUGUAUCUUCUUUUGAAAUUUACAUUAAUAACUAUUCUUCCUUUAGUUUCAAAUGUCUUACUCUUCUUCUGCUUCUUCUCUUGGCCAAGGUGAUUCCCGUACAUGUUAUUGCAGAUUAAUUACCAAUCAUUUUACUACUACGACACCUAUGAAUGGCGGUCGUAGAUUAUGUUGUUGUUCUGAGAAGAAUGGUUGUCGUUAUUGGGAAUGGCGCGAUGAACAAUUUCUACCUCAUGUGUCAAUGUUUAUUCUUAAUCAAAAAAUUUCAUUGGAUGCCCUUCAUCAAUAAAAGAACAAGUUAAAGCAGACUGUGGCUGAUAUGGUUCGUAGCAAAGCUGCAGAUUUGAACAAAACAUCUGCCUUGGAGGAGAAAGGUUCCAAUUUGGAAUUAAAAGUGAAUCGAUUGAGAUGGUCAUGGGCUACUUUUGUAUUUUUUGCCACCGUCAAGAUGAUGAAUUGAGAAGUUGGUGGCAAAUGUUGAUGAAGCAUUUCAACAUUCUGCAUAUUUCUACUUUUUUUAUGUUAAGUAAUUGUUGUUUUGGUCAUUUGUGUCGAUGUUGGAUGGGCUAUUAAGGGAAGGGAAUGAGCAAAUUAGUGUUUUGAUAGUAGUGGUAGUAGUGUUUGUUUUGGUUAUUAGCGUCGGUUGAUCUAGUGUUAUUAGUUUCUAAUCAAAGGGGGCGGGUUACGGGUGGG